CUACGGGACGCUGCAGUGAGGAAUAUUGCACAAUGGGGGGAACCCUGAUGCAGCAACGCCGCGUGGAGGAUGACGCAUUUCGGUGUGUAAACUCCUUUUAUAUGUCAAGAAAAUGACGGUAGCAUAUGAAUAAGCACCGGCUAACUCCGUGCCAGCAGCCGCGGUAAUACGGAGGGUGCAAGCGUUACUCGGAAUCACUGGGCGUAAAGAACGCGUAGGCGGGUUGGAAAGUCAGGUGUGAAAUCCUACAGCUUAACUGUAGAACUGCACUUGAAACUUCUAAUCUAGAGUAUGGGAGGGGGAGAUGGAAUUAGUGGUGUAGGGGUAAGAUCCGUAGAUAUCACUAGGAAUACCUAAAGCGAAGGCGAUCUCCUGGAACAUUACUGACGCUAAGGCGUGAAAGCGUGGGGAGCAAACAGGAUUAGAUACCCCGGUAGUC
rnacentral:rRNA from 1 species